rnacentral:rRNA from 1 species
AGCUCCAAUAGCGUAUAUUAAAGUUGUUGCAGUUAAAAAGCUCGUAGUUGGAUUUCGGGAUGGGCCAGUCGGUCUGCCGCAAGGUAAGUUACUGGCUGGUCUGUCCUUCUUCGCAAAGACUGCGCGUGCCCUUAACUGAGUGUGCGUAGGAUUUCCGACGUUUACUUUGAAAAAAUUAGAGUGUUCAAAGCAGGCUAACCGCUUGAAUACAUGAGCAUGGAAUAAUGGAAUAGGACUUUGGUUCUAUUUUGUUGGUUUCUGGAACCGAAGUAAUGAUUAAUAGGGACAGUUGGGGGCAUUCGUAUUUCGUUGUCAGAGGUGAAAUUCUUGGACUUUUUGAAGACAAACUACUGCGAAAGCAUUUGCCAAGAAUGUUUUCA